UCAGUCAAUUUAGCAUGUUCCAACGCCAACAAAAUGUAAUUGCAGGUUCUUUCUUCUUUUUGAGGUGUUCCUGCCAAGAAGCCCAGCUGGAUGGGUUUGGGGUUUGGAAGACAGUACUUUGAUACCUCAGGGUCCUGUCUAGAGUCUGCCAGUCAUGCAGACACCUUGCUUUCAGAUGGUUCUUCUCCCCCCACCCUCAACAGCAGUUGCUCUAUUCACACCUACCUCCUCUUCAGCCAUGGUUUGUUGCAAGACAGCUUUCCCUUCUGAAGAGGUUGAACUGCUCACUUGAGAGGCGAAUGCACAUCUCACUUCAACACGCAUGACUGUGGCCAGUUUCUGGUGACCAGUGAACCAAGAUGGACCAAUAAUUCUUUUCAGAAUUACAGAACACUCAUAAGAUUUUUUUGACGUUGCUCAGGUGCUAACAUUUGGGCUGGGGAGAAGGAUUGGUUUCUACAUGUCUGAAGGCUUUUCCUCUUCAGGAUUUUGUUUUUCAACUGGAUCAACAGACCAGUCUGGCACUGCACCUAACCCUGUGAUGACUGGUAGCCACACGAGAGAGCUGAUGGCAAGCUACAUUAAUUGCCCCCAGCAAAACCUUGUUACUUCUCCCCGAAAUCUGACGUCCCAAGGGACAGAGGAAGAACUCCACUCCUCUAAAAGGCAUCCACCAAAGACUACAUCAAAGAAAGGAGAUUUUUAAAGGAGCCAGUAGGAAACACUGAGCAGAAUUAUUUCGAUCUUACCCCACUCUGUGGUCCCUGUGACCUGGGAGGGGGCUACUGGGCUUCAAAACACUUGAAGGUGAGUGCUGGUGCAUUUUUUUUCAAACGCUGAGCAAGAAGCAUUGCUCUCCAGCAGAAGCCUGGAGAAGUGACUCCAGUAGGAAGCUGCUGCACACUGGGCUCUUCUCAAGAUGGGAGAUGCCUUCCUAGAGCCCUGCUUCGUCUGCCUGAGGGUUGUCCUGACCAGGUUGUCCUGAUCACUAGGCUAGAGCCUGCUUUGUGGAAAAAGGGGGUGUGCAAGAUGAUGGCUUGAUCCUUCUUGCUGGGAGUGUGUCACACUGCACACACUAACUCACUGUUGAGCCAGAGAUGUGCCUCUGCAGCCUGGUGGCUCGGAGUCUCACAUGAGGGACAGAGGUGUCGGUUUCAGUGACUGCUUCAGGCCCUGAGACAGGGCUGGGAGGAGUGGUGGGGAAAAAAAAAUUGCAUUUUAGCCCAAGUCCGUAUGGCAAAUCCCAGGGUUCUUGUAUUUGGUGCAGUUCUGUCUCAGCUAAAGUAGAGAUGGGCUCAAAACGAAAGGCAAGAAGAGUUGUGAGGGGAGC
rnacentral:lncRNA from 1 species